GCCUUAUCAAGAGAGGUGGAGGGACAGGCCCGAUGAAGCCCAGCAACCGUUAAAAGCGGUGCUAAUUCCUACGGAUAGCUAUGUCCGGAAGAUGAGGG
rnacentral:ncRNA from 2 species